rnacentral:rRNA from 1 species
CAGCCGCCGCGGUAAUACGAAGGGGGCUAGCGUUGCUCGGAAUCACUGGGCGUAAAGGGUGCGUAGGCGGGUCUUUAAGUCAGGGGUGAAAUCCUGGAGCUCAACUCCAGAACUGCCUUUGAUACUGAAGAUCUUGAGUUCGGGAGAGGUGAGUGGAACUGCGAGUGUAGAGGUGAAAUUCGUAGAUAUUCGCAAGAACACCAGUGGUGAAGGCGGCUCACUGGCCCGAUACUGACGCUGAGGCACGAAAGCGUGGGGAGCAAACAGGAUUAGAUACCCCGGUAGUCCCUGUCUCUUAUAC